UUUCCUUUGGUUUAGUUGGUAGAGCAUUGCUCCAACAACGCAAAUGUCGUGGGUUCAAACCACAGGGAAAG